UCAAGCAAGAAGAGGUUUGCGGCGGAUGCCUGGGAGCUGUCCGGCGAAGAAGGCCGCGGUAAGCUGCGAAAAGCUGCGGGGAGGAGCAAACAUCCAGAGAUCCGCAGAUAGCCGAAUGGGGUAACCCGUAUGUCGCAAGGCAUACACCGCGCGCGGGAAGAAGAUACUGCGGCGGAGCGAUACUGCGUGAAGUGAACCAUCUAAGUAACGCGGGAAGAGAAAUCAAAAGAGAUUGCGCAAGUAGCGGCGAGCGAACGCGCAGGAGCCUAAACCCUUAUGUAGGGUGUUGCAGGGCCGCACGGGGAUGACCCGUGGAGUUGGUGAGAAAACCGAUAUGUAGCGGAAGCGUCUGGAAAGGCGCGCGAGACAGCGUGAAAGCCGCGUAUGCGAAAGAUAUCGGACUCCAUGGUGCGGUACCUAAGUAGGGCGGGGCACGAGAAACCCUGUUUGAAUCCGGGUCGACCACGAUCCAAGGCUAAAUACGAGACAGCUACCGACAGCGAAGAGUACCGUGAGGGAACGGCGAAAAGAACCCCGGUGAGGGGAGUGAAAGAGAACCUGAAACCGCAAACCAACAAGAUGUCACGGCGCGUGAGCGUUGUGGCGUGUCUUUUGUAGAAUAAACCUGCGAGUUGCGAUGCGCGGCGAGGCUAAGGGUUGGGAGAUCCGGAGCCGAAGCGAAAGCGAGUGUGAAAAGUGCGAAAAGUCGCGUGUCGCAGACCCGAAGCCAAGGUGAUCUAAUUAUGGGCAGGCUGAAGGCAGGGUGAAACCUGUUGGAGGGCCGAACAGUAAUCUGUUAAAAAAGGUAGUGAUGACCUGUGAUUAGGAGUGAAAGGCUAAACAAACCUGGAAAUAGCUGGCUCUCCCCGAAAUGCCUUUAGGGACAGCCUCAUGCAAAGCGGAAGGAGGUAAAGCACCGGAUGGGAUAGGGGGCGUCACAGUCUACCGACACCAAUCGAACUCAGAAUGCCAUCCGCCAACGCAUGGGAGUGAGACUGUGUGCUCCAAGGUUCAUAGUCGAGAGGGAAACAGCCCGGACCGACGGCAAAGGUCCCGAAAUAACGCUCAGUGUGAAAUGAGGUGCGUCUGCACAGACAGCCAGGAGGUUGGCUCAGAAGCAGCCAUUCCUUAAAAGAGUGCGUAACAGCUCACUGGUCGAGCAGGCGUGCGCAGACAAUGUAACGGGGCUAAGCGUUAUACCGAAGCCGCGGGUCCGCAUUGUAAGAUGCGGGCGGUAGGGGAGCAUUGCGCUAACCGGCGAAGGCGUACCUGUGAGGGGCGCUGGAGGAAGCGGAAGAGAGAAUGCAGGCACAAGUAACGAAAAGACGGGUGAGAUUCCCGUCCGCCGAAAGCCUGAGGAUUCCCGGGUAAAGGCAAUCUGCCCGGGGUAAGUCGGCCCCUAAGGCGAGGACGAAAGUCGUAGUCGAUGGGAAAUCGGUUCAAAAUCCGAUACCCGGCUCAGUUUUGAAGGCAGGACGCAUGAGGUGAAAUCCGGCAGGAGAACGGUAGAUUCUGUCCAAGCGGUAAGGUGUUGAGAGGGCGGUUAAAAGAGCCCUUGAGCUGAGCCGUUACGGGGAGCGGAGCGCAGGCGAAGCGAAGCGGAUGUAAUCAAGGUGCCGGGAAAUACUGUCUAAAGCUAGGCUGAGUCGGACCGUACCGGAAACGGACACACGCAGGCAGGAUGAGUAAUCUAAGGCGCACGAGCGACCCCGCGUUAAGGAACUCGGCAAAAAGCACACGUAACUUCGGAAGAAGUGUGGCUCACGCUGAUAAGGAUGUGAGCGGCAGAAAGCAGGCCCAGGCGACUGUUUAUCAAAAACACAGCCAUCUGCGAACCAGCAAUGGGACGUAUAGGUGGUGACACCUGCCCGGUGCCGGAAGGUUAAGAGGAGAGGUUAACAGCAAUGUGAAGCUUUGAAUUGAAGCCCCGGUAAACGGCGGCCGUAACUAUAACGGUCCUAAGGUAGCGAAAUUCCUUGUCGGGUAAGUUCCGACCCGCACGAAUGGC
rnacentral:rRNA from 1 species